CCUACGGGAGGCAGCAGUAGGGAAUAUUGGGCAAUGGGCGAAAGCCUGACCCAGCGGCGCCGCGUGAGGGAUGAAGGUCUUCGGAUUGUAAACCUCUUUCAGUAGGGAAGAAGCGAAAGUGACGGUACCUAAAGAAGAAGCACCGGCUAACUAUGUGCCAGCAGCCGCGGUAAUACAUAGGGUGCAAGCGUUGUCCGGAAUUAUUGGGCGUAAAGAGCUCGUAGGUCGUUUGUCGCGUCGAUUGUGAAAAUCUGAGGCUCAACCUCAGACCUGCAGUCGAUACGGGCAAACUAGAGUGUGGUAGGGGAGACUGGAAUUCCUGGUGUAGCGGUGGAAUGCGCAGAUAUCAGGAGGAACACCAAUGGCGAAGGCAGGUCUCUGGGCCAUAACUGACACUGAGGAGCGAAAGUGCGGGGAGCGAACAGGAUUAGAUACCCUGGUAGUCCGCACCGUAAACGGUGGGCACUAGUUGUGGGAACCUUCCACGGUUUCCGCGACGCAGCAAACGCAUUAAGUGCCCCGCCUGGGGAGUACGAUCGCAAGAUUAAAACUCAAAGGAAUUGACGG
rnacentral:rRNA from 1 species